CAGGUAGGUGGUUUGAUAAGUCUGUUGUGAAAGCUCCUGGCUUAACUGGGAGAGGUCAACAGAAACUAUCAGGCUUGAGUAUAGGAGAGGGUACUGGAAUUCCCGGUGUAGCGGUGAAAUGCGCAGAGAUCGGGAGGAACACCAAUGGCGAAAGCAGGUACCUGGACUAUUACUGACACUCAGCUGCGAAAGCUAGGGGAGCAAACAGGAUUAGAUACCCUGGUAGUCCUAGCCGUAAACGAUGCACAUUAGGCGUGAGGGGUAUCGACCCCCUUCGUGCCGACGCAAACGCAUUAAAUGUGCCGCCUGGGGAGUACGGCCGCAAGGUUGAA
rnacentral:rRNA from 1 species